rnacentral:rRNA from 1 species
UACGGGGGGAGCAAGCGUUGUUCGGAUUUACUGGGCGUAAAGCGCACGUAGGCGGCUUUGUAAGUUAGAGGUGAAAGCCCGGGGCUCAACUCCGGAAUUGCCUUUAAGACUGCAUCGCUAGAAUUGUGGAGAGGUAAGUGGAAUUCCGAGUGUAGAGGUGAAAUUCGUAGAUAUUCGGAAGAACACCAGUGGCGAAGGCGACUUACUGGACACAUAUUGACGCUGAGGUGCGAAAGCGUGGGGAGCAAACAGG